rnacentral:piRNA from 1 species
UAGGAUCCCAUUGUACAUGGACUAACGUGU